GGGGCUGACCAAGUUUAGACGGGUUAUUAACAGAUAUCAAGCACGACGAUUAGUACCGUAAGUACAAAAUAAGUGAAGAAAAAUCUUCCAGCAUGCAUGUAGCUUACAUGCCUGCUUUUGCCUAGUUUAAUCUAGACUGGCUACAACUGUGAGUUUCCAUAACAGGGGUAGUUAUCAGAACUUAUGGGAAUUGAAUCUUUAUCCGACGAGUAAGGAUUUGAAAUCUAGUCAUGGCAAUCGAUAGUUUUUGUCUAUCUGUACUAUUGAUGAUCGCUAAGAGAACAGAUAAACUAUGCGUGUAGAAUGAUAUCCAGAGAUGAUUCGGACGGGGAGGCAGUAUCCCCCAGCUCCACCA
rnacentral:tmRNA from 1 species